rnacentral:rRNA from 1 species
UACGUAGGGAGCGAGCGUUGUCCGGAUUCAUUGGGCGUAAAGAGCUCGUAGGCGGUUUGUCGCGUCUGCUGUGAAAACCCGAGGCUCAACCUCGGGCCUGCAGUGGGUACGGGCAGACUAGAGUGCGGUAGGGGAGAUUGGAAUUCCUGGUGUAGCGGUGGAAUGCGCAGAUAUCAGGAGGAACACCAAUGGCGAAGGCAGAUCUCUGGGCCGUAACUGACGCUGAGGAGCGAAAGCAUGGGGAGCGAACAGG